rnacentral:rRNA from 1 species
GAUGAACGCUGGCGGCGUGCCUAAUACAUGCAAGUCGAACGAACAAAGGGGGAGUUUCUUCCCUUGACGAUUUGCGCGGGCGGGUGUGUCACACGGGUAUCCCCCCCCUUUAAGACGGGGAUAACUUCGGGAAACUGGCGCCAAUCGCAUAAUACAAGUUGUACCACAUGGUUCAACAGUGAAAGACGCUUUUGCCGUCACCUAUUGAACGUUCCGUGCCGCAUUUGCUAGUUGGUAUGGCAACGCCUUACCAAGGCACCGAUGCGUCGCCGACCUGAGAGGGUGAUCGGCCACACUGGAACGGAGACACGGUCCAGACUCCUACGGGAGGCAGCAGUAGGGAAUCUUCCGCAAUGGCCGAAAGCCUGACGGAGCAACGCCGCGUGAGUGAAGAAGGUCUUCGGAUCGUAAAACUCUGUUAUUAGGGAAGAACAAAUGUGUAAGUAACUAUGCACGUCUUGACGGUACCUAAUCAGAAAGCCACGGCUAACUACGUG